rnacentral:rRNA from 1 species
CGCACGGGUGCGUAACACGUAACUAACCUACCUAUAACUGGGGGAUAGCCCGCCGAAAGGCGGAUUAAUACCGCAUAAGACAAUAGAGCGGCAUCGCUUAGUUGUUAAAGAUUUAUUGGUUAUAGAUGGGGUUGCGGGUCAUUAGCUAGUUGGUAGGGUAACGGCUUACCAAGGCGACGAUGACUAGGGGAGCUGAGAGGCUGGUCCCCCACACGGGCACUGAGAUACGGGCCCGACUCCUACGGGAGGCAGCAGUAGGGAAUAUUGGGCAAUGGGCGAGAGCCUGACCCAGCCAUGCCGCGUGCAGGAAGAAGGCUUUCUGAGUCGUAAACUGCUUUUGACAGGGAAGAAUAAGCACUACGUGUAGUGUGAUGACGGUACCUGCAGAAUAAGCACCGGCUAACUCCGUGCCAGCAGCCGCGGUAAUACGGAGGGUGCGAGCGUUGUCCGGAUUUAUUGGGUUUAAAGGGUGCGUAGGCGGCCUUUUAAGUCCGGGGUGAAAGCCCGUUGCUUAACAACGGAACUGCCCUGGAUACUGAGAGGCUUGAGUACAGACGAGGUUGGCGGAAUGGACCGAGUAGCGGUGAAAUGCAUAGAUACGGUCCAGAACCCCGAUUGCGAAGGCAGCUGACUAGGCUGUUACUGACGCUGAGGCACGACAGCGUGGGGAGCGAACAGGAUUAGAUACCCUGGUAGUCCACGCCGUAAACGAUGGAUACUCGCUGCGAGCUAAAGAUUGUUCGUGGCUUAGGGAAACCGAUAAGUAUCCCACCUGGGGAGUACGCCGGCAACGGUGAAAC